AUACCACUUGGGGAGCGGAGCCACCACUGACAGCACGAUACACGGAGACGGUGACCGCUCCGUUAAUUUCAGAAACAAGAAAUAAAACCUAGAAAAACAUUACAAACACUGCGCUGCUCACAGUACAGCGUUCGUGCCUGAUUAUGUUUGUUUUCCUGCAAGAAAAGCGCAGUACGGCGCUUCCCAUGAUGCACUGCGCGCUGAAUAUUUAACAAACUGCUCAAACGCGCGGUUUACAUUUUAAAAUCGGGAAGGUUUACAGCUUUACUCGAGGUGCAGCGGCAUCAUGUUAAAAAAUACAAAGCUGCGGAACAUCCGUCUACUUUAGAAAGACAAUGGGUCCAGAGUCAGUUUAAGGGGGGCUCCGCCACUUUCUGUUCCUCCGGUUAUGCCAGAAGCAUGACUGUGAAACGCUGGAGGGCGAAAACGAGAGAGAAUGAGGGUGAAAGAGGCUAAACGGCGAAAAAUAUUCAACACGAACUCAGACACUUCAGAAAACACGAGAGGCGCUCUGACCAGCCUGUCUGUACUGACAGCCUCGGUUUGUGAGAUUCAACACAGACUCAGACACUUCAGAAAACACAAGAGGCGCUCUGACCAGCCUGUCUGUACUGACAGCCUCAUUUUAUGAGGUCAGGAACAACACACGAUUAAAGAUUACAAAUAAUGUUUUGGUUUAAUAAAUGUUAAAAUAACAAAAAUUCAUGUUGUUGCUGUUUUCUGGUAUUGGGUUAUAGCCAGUUUGAUGUGCAGUGUCAUUAGAAAAUAAAAUUACGCAUUUUAAUACA